UAGCAAAAUGGCUUUUCUAACUCUUGAAAUUCCUUUUUUCCCCUGGGUAUAAAUGAGGAAGUAGGGAGUAUUGAAGAAGGGAAUUGGACCUUGGACCACAACCUUAGAAUAAUGUCUUUCCUAAAGUAACCACAUGCAAUUUUAUUUUGUUAUUUAUAUCUGGCUGAGACUGAUGCUGAAAAGCUUUUUGGAUUCACCUGAGCAUUUGGCUCCUUGGUGAAUUCAAUUUUUGACAUAGAGCUGGAUUUGAAUCCUCUCAUCCCCGAACUAUAAAAGAAAAAAGCUUUAUGGCUUGCUAUAUGGAGAAAAAGUUGGGAUUAACUAAUCAAAGCCUAAACACCUUCCGUUCCUCCUUUACUCCUUGGACCACAAAAUAAUCUAAUGGCAUGCCUUGUCCCCUUACCUAUUAUACCAUGUCCUAGGAUAUUCUUCUUUCCUGGUUUGGUACCAAGGAAUUUGGCAAUUGAUUUUAUCUAGUCUUGUUUUCCAUUCAUUGAUAUAAUUUCUGUCAAAAGUCACAUAUAUUCAUAAUGAAAAUAUCUUACGAAGAUUUACCUUUCAAUGCUUAAAAUUUGUGUUUUAAUGAAAUUUGUUGUAAACUAGUCUGUAUAGAUUCAGCAGUUCUCCCAAUGAAUUUUCUGGUAACCUUUUUUGUUAGGUGGAGGAGAUUAAAGAUAUUGAUGGCAGUUCCGAUAAUCCGGUCAUUGCAGAUGCCAUAGAAAAUUAGAAAGAGCUGAUUCUAUCUGAAGAUCAAAGGAAAAUUUUUAGAAAGGUCAAAGAGGAAGAUGAUGUAAAUACUGACGGGAAGUUUCAGCUGCAUUUGAAACAGAAGAGACAUCGAAGGAGAUCAAAACAG